CCUGCGGGAGGCAGCAGUAAGGAAUAUUGGUCAAUGGACGAGAGUCUGAACCAGCCAAGUAGCGUGAAGGAUGACGGCCCUAUGGGUUGUAAACUUCUUUUAUAUGGGAGUAAAAUGUUCCACGUGUGGGAUUUUGUAUGUACCAUAUGAAUAAGGAUCGGCUAACUCCGUGCCAGCAGCCGCGGUAAUACGGAGGAUCCGAGCGUUAUCCGGAUUUAUUGGGUUUAAAGGGAGCGUAGGUGGAUUGUUAAGUCAGUUGUGAAAGUUUGCGGCUCAACCGUAAAAUUGCAGUUGAAACUGGCAGUCGUGAGUACAGUAGAGGUAGGCGGAAUUCGUGGUGUAGCGGUGAAAUGCUUAGAUAUCACGAAGAACUCCGAUUGCGAAGGCAGUUCACUGGACUGCAACUGACACUGAGGCACGAAAGUGUGGGUAUCAAACAGGAUUAGAUACCCCUGUAGUC
rnacentral:rRNA from 1 species